UCAAAUGCGAAGAACAGGAAAUGAUUUAUUUAUAUCACCGCCUACAGAGAGCCGUUGGUUGAUGAGAAACGGUAGCAAGGAAUAGAUAAGCCCUCACCUGCAAGCAGUUCUGGUGAAAGAUAUUAAUUUAGUAGUCAGAAUCGGUACCCAUCGUUAACAGGGCAUGCCAUUAAAUGUGGCAGUAGAGAGGUCGGAUUUAUCCGGCAAGCAAAGUGGUAACGCGGAAGUAAUGUAAUUUACCUUCGUCUUUGCA
rnacentral:ncRNA from 1 species